GUUUAUACUGAAGUUGUGCAACCCUGUACGCAACCAAGCGUGGCCAGGUUGCCUCUCCUGCCAGGGAUGCCACCCACAUCUGUCUGGGUUGUGCCUGCAUCAGCUGUUUCCUGCAGCCCCGUGCUGUUCCUGGGUGUUGCUGUGCCUCCCCGCAGCUCAGCUCGCUGCAGCUCUCGGCACCCUCUCCUGCAGGCAGGCGCUCCUGCUCGGCCCCAAGUGCCAGCGCUUUCCCGAGCCUGCUUGCGCGAGAGACCCUGCUGGGCUGAGGUGGUGGCAGAAGCCUGAGGAUCUGCACAUCGCUACAGCACACCUCCCGUGUCCUGCACUGGGAAGUGAGAAGAAACUCAGGUCACUUGGAGCAUCCAGGCAUGAACAUAAUCACAGAAUUUCCAAAGUAUGUCACAGGACCAUUUAUUUCUAACCUCAAAGUUAAAACAUUUUCUGUGAGUGACUUUCUUUUUCCACCUUCAUUUGCCCUUUGUUCAUUGCUGCCUUUGGUGUGAAUGGGUCUCUUUGUCAAUAGCCUGUUCUUUUCCAUUUUUCCGUUGUUUCACACAGUGAUGAAGACCUCAGGGUUUGCCUUUUUCCUUUCUUCUCACUCCUCUAAUGUUCUCGUAUCUUUUUUUCCUGAUCACACUGUAGAUGGGUACAAAGUUUGCUCCAGCAAACUCAGUUCUGCCCAGCGAGUGCACGAGGUGAUGGCGUGCUGUCUGUGCCAUGGUAGGUUUGGCUAUUGUCUAGCAGAGUGUCACUCAGAAAGGAUUUUGACACCAAAUUUUGGUAAAAAAAGAAAUGUAAGAUGGUGACUUGUAUGUGAUUACCUGCUGAGAAUGUUGGUGUGAAAAGAACGGUGUCAAUGAACCUGGAGUUUUCAUUAGAAAAAUGUGUUUGUGUAAAAUAAUAAAGAAAGGAAAAGAAAAGCCUACAUGCAAUGUGGAAAGGCACAGUCUAACUUUUCAGUGCAACUCAGUCGUACCUGGACUUGUGUGCUGAAUGCCAGCACCGUAAGCUGUAUGCUGGCAGGGCAAGGCGUUGCAACCCCACUGGGCUGCAGGACGUGUGACACGCCAGUGUCACCAAAACACCUUCAUCUUCACUGCGAGCAGAGUCUGCUUGGUGUGAGGUAGCUGAGAUAGUGAGAGGGAGCUGUACAGGCCCAGGAAGCAGUGAUUUCCCACAGAAAAACUGAGACAAAAGCUUGGAGCUGCCAAGUCACCUUGGGCAACCUUUUCAUCCUUCUCAUAAUCUUUCUUCCAUUGCCAAUCGUAAGGGGUGUGGCUGCUCAAAGAAAAUGCUUUAUUCCCCUUUAUGCCACAAGUCGUGAUUCACACUUGGACUGAAAUAGUACACUGGAAUUUACCGUUGGAUCUUUUUUGAACUUGGAUCUAAUAAAAGGCUCAUUGUUUCAGUUCUAAUUAGUUUUUAAUUGCUGGGCUUUAUGGCCUUCUAAGACCAAUUCUUUUCUUACUCUGCAGUUAAUAUCUGCAAAUGUUUUCGAAUGGAAUGGUAUCAUAUAACAUAUCAUCUACAAGCCAUGUAAUUGUAUUCUUAGGGGAGUGGGGAAGCAAUUCAGCGCAGGAAUUUAUAGCUAAUUAAUAAGCUAUCAAAAAUCCAGGUAUGGAUUAGCACUUUGGCUGAUUAGAUAGCUAAAAAUUGCAGAGCAACACUUCCCCUAGAUAGAAGGAUCUCAUUCACUACACUUACGCACAGGCUGUGCUCUUAGAAUGGCAGAGAAUAAUUCCGAUGGGGGGGGGGGGGGG
ensembl:lncRNA